rnacentral:rRNA from 1 species
GAUGAACGCUGGCGGCGUGCCUAAUACAUGCAAGUCGAGCGAACAGACGAGGAGCUUGCUCCUCUGACGUUAGCGGCGGACGGGUGAGUAACACGUGGAUAACCUACCUAUAAGACUGGGAUAACUUCGGGAAACCGGAGCUAAUACCGGAUAAUAUAUUGAACCGCAUGGUUCAAUAGUGAAAGACGGUUUUGCUGUCACUUAUAGAUGGAUCCGCGCCGCAUUAGCUAGUUGGUAAGGUAACGGCUUACCAAGGCGACGAUGCGUAGCCGACCUGAGAGGGGGAUCGGCCACACUGGAACGGAGACACGGUCCAGACUCCUACGGGAGGCAGCAGUAGGGAAUCUUCCGCAAUGGGCGAAAGCCUGACGGAGCAACGCCGCGUGAGUGAUGAAGGUCUUCGGAUCGUAGAACUCUGUUAUUAGGGAAGAACAAAUGUGUAAGUAACUAUGCACGUCUUGACGGUACCUAAUCAGAAAGCCACGGCUAACUACGUG